rnacentral:rRNA from 1 species
CCCAGUAAACGGCGGCCGUAACUAUAACGGUCCUAAGGUAGCGAAAUUCCUUGUCGGGUAAGUUCCGACCCGCACGAAAGGCGUAACGAUUUGGGCACUGUCUCAACGAGAGACUCGGUGAAAUCAUAGUACCUGUGAAGAUGCAGGUUACCCGCGACAGGACGGAAAGACCCCGUGGAGCUUUACUGUAGCCUGAUAUUGAAAUUCGGCACAGCUUGUACAGGAUAGGUAGGAGCCUUUGAAACGUGAGCGCUAGCUUACGUGGAGGCGCUGGUGGGAUACUACCCUAGCUGUGUUGGCUUUCUAACCCGCACCACUUAUCGUGGUGGGAGACAGUGUCAGGCGGGCAGUUUGACUGGGGCGGUCGCCUCCUAAAAGGUAACGGAGGCGCUCAAAGGUUCCCUCAGAAUGGUUGGAAAUCAUUCAUAGAGUGUAAAGGCAUAAGGGAGCUUGACUGCGAGACCUACAAGUCGAGCAGGGUCGAAAGACGGACUUAGUGAUCCGGUGGUUCCGCAUGGAAGGGCCAUCGCUCAACGGAUAAAAGCUACCC